rnacentral:rRNA from 1 species
CAGAGGUGGCAAGCGUUGUUCGGAAUUACUGGGCGUAAAGGGCGCGUAGGCGGUCUUGUAAGUCCUGUGUGAAAUCCCUCGGCUCAACUGAGGAACUGCACGGGAUACUGCGAGACUUGAGUUCGGGAGAGGGAAGCGGAAUUCCGGGUGUAGCGGUGAAAUGCGUUGAUAUCCGGAGGAACACCGGUGGCGAAGGCGGCUUCCUGGACCGAUUACUGACGCUGAGGCGCGAAAGCUAGGGGAGCAAACGGGAUUAGAUACCCCGGUAGUCCUAGCUGUAAACGAUGAGUGCUGGGUGUAGAGGGUAUUAACCCCUUCUGUGCCGAAGCUAACGCAUUAAGCACUCCGCCUGGGGAGUACGGUCGCAAGGCUG